rnacentral:rRNA from 1 species
ACUCCUGCGGGAGGCAGCAGUGGGGAAUAUUGGACAAUGGGCGCAAGCCUGAUCCAGCCAUGCCGCGUGAGUGAUGAAGGCCCUAGGGUUGUAAAGCUCUUUCACCGGAGAAGAUAAUGACGGUAUCCGGAGAAGAAGCCCCGGCUAACUUCGUGCCAGCAGCCGCGGUAAUACGAAGGGGGCUAGCGUUGUUCGGAAUUACUGGGCGUAAAGCGCACGUAGGCGGAUCGAUCAGUCAGGGGUGAAAUCCCAGGGCUCAACCCUGGAACUGCCUUUGACACUGUCGAUCUGGAGUAUGGAAGAGGUGCGUGGAAUCCCGAGUGUAGAGGUGAAAUUCGUAGAUAUUCGGAGGAACACCAGUGGCGAAGGCGGCUCACUGGUCCAUUACUGACGCUGAGGUGCAAAAGCGUGGGGAGCAAACAGGACUAGAAACCCCGGUAGUCC